rnacentral:rRNA from 1 species
UACGUAGGUGGCAAGCGUUGUCCGGAUUUACUGGGCGUAAAGAGCGCGCAGGCGGUCGUUCAAGUCGCGUGUGAAAGCCCCCGGCUCAACUGGGGAGGGUCACGCGAUACUGAUCGACUCGAAGGCAGGAGAGGGUAGUGGAAUUCCCGGUGUAGUGGUGAAAUGCGUAGAUAUCAGGAAGAACACCCGUGGCUAAGGCGGCUCUCUAGUACGGUACUGACGCUGAGACGCGAAAGCGUGGGGAGCGAACAGG